GGGGAUUUGGCUCAGUGGUAGAGCGCUUGCCUAGCAAGCACAAGGCCCUGGGUUCGGUCCCCAGCUCUU
rnacentral:tRNA from 1 species